UAUGAAGCUUUACUGUAGCUUGGCAUUGAGUUUGGGUUUAGUUUGCGCAGCAUAGGUGGGAGGCUGAGAUAAUAUGCUUGUGGGUAUAUAGUAGCCAUCAGUGAGAUACCACUCUGACUAAACUAGAAUUCUAACCUUAAAUAGCCGUUAACCGGCUAAGGAACAGUGUCAGGUGGGCAGUUUGACUGGGGCGGUCGCCUCCUAAAAGGUAACGGAGGCGUGCAAAGGUUCUCUCAGGCUGGUCGGAAAUCAGUCGUAGAGUAUAAAGGCAAAAGAGAGCUUGACUGCAAGACCUACAAGUCGAGCAGAGACGAAAGUCGGCCUUAGUGAUCCGACAGU
rnacentral:rRNA from 1 species